rnacentral:lncRNA from 1 species
AAAAAAAAAAAUGAAAGCAAAACCCCAACCAGAAAAAUGAAUAGCACCUUAAAAAUACCAACUAAGGCUUCCAGUCGGCAUCAGCCCUGUGCCACCUUAGGCACAAACUCUGCGGUCAUCCCAAGGUCCCCAGAGGAUUCUCCACGACUCUCCAAGCCACAGGCGCCCUAGCACACCCAGGAUCUUAGGAUCACUGGUGAGUGGAACACAACAUCUGUUCUAAAACAACCCAGAGGGGCUUGUGCUAAUAGGAACAGGAACAAAGGAAACUCACCUGCCCAAAACCUGCCUGCCCAGCGACUGGGGUUUCUUUCAGUUGGUGCCAGCCCCGUGCCACGUUGGGCACGAUCUUGGCCAAUGGUCCCAUGGUCCCCAGAGGACUCUCUACAUCACAGGUGCCCUAGCACACCCAGGAUCUUAGGAUCACUGAGGAGAGUCGGCCUCCAGAGAGGGCUCUGAUCCAGGGACUCAGGUGAGAGUGCAAUCUUGUAUCCCAGGUCUCACAGAGACCAGUCUGCACAGGAGAGCAUGUGGGCCCCAGAAGCAACAGAGCUUCUUGGAGAGGGUCCUUUCAGGCCUUCAUCCUCAGCCAAGCGGCAGAGCUGAGACCCAGACCUCUGGGCACCUUCCCUGCAAGAAGAGAGCUUGCCUGCAGAGAAUGCUCUGACCACUGGACUCAGGAGAGAGUUGGACACCCAGGAGUGCUGACAGAGGCUAACAGGAUCACAGAAGGAAUAAGCUCCAGCCAAAGACAGCUAGAACAUCUAACACCAGAGAUUACCAGAUGGCGAAAGGCAAACAUAAGAAUCUUACUAACAGAAACCAAAACCACAGGGCAUCAUCAGAACCCAGUACGCCUAACACAGAAAGUCCUGGAUACCCCAACACACACACGAAAAGCAAGAUUCAAAUUUAAAAUCAUAAUUCAUGAUGCUGGUAGAGGAUUUUAAGAAGGACAUUAAUAACUCACUUAAAGAAAUACAGGAGAACACUGCUGAAAAGGUAGAAUACCUUAAGAGGAAACACAAAAAUCCCUUAAAGAAUUACAGGAAAACACAACCAAGCAGGUGAUGGAAUUGAACAAGAUCAAAAAAAUGGAAGUAGAAACAAUAAAGAAAAUCCAAAAUGAGACAGCGCUAAAGAUAGAAACCCUAGGAAAGAAAUCAGGAACCAUAGAUGUGAGCAUCAGCAACAGAAUACAAGAGAUGGAAGAGAGAAUCUCAGGUGCGGAAGAUACCAUAGAAAACAUAGACACAACAAUCAAAGAAAAUGCAAAUCCCAAAAA